rnacentral:rRNA from 1 species
UAGAAUUCCACGUGUAGCGGUGAAAUGCGUAGAGAUGUGGAGGAAUACCGGUGGCGAAGGCGGCCUUCUGGACAGAUACUGACGCUGAGAUGCGAAAGCGUGCGGAGCAAACAGGAUUACAUACCCUGGUAGUCCACGCUGUAAACGAUGUCUAUUUGGAGUUUGUUGCCUAGAGUGAUGGGCUCCGAAGCUAACGCGAUAAAUCGACCGCCUGGGGAGUACGGCCGCAAGGUUAAAACUCAAAUGAAUUGACGGGGGCCCGCACAAGCGGUGGAGCAUGUGGUUUAAUUCGAUGCAACGCGAAGAACCUUACCUGGUCUUGACAUCCACAGAAUCUUGCAGAGAUGCGAGAGUGCCUUCGGGAACUGUGAGACAGGUGCUGCAUGGCUGUCGUCAGCUCGUGUUGUGAAAUCUUGCCUUAAGUCCCGCAACGAGCGCAACCCUUAUCCUUUGUUGCCAGCGAUUCGGUCGGGAACUCAAAGGAGACUGCCGUUGAUAAAGCGGAGGAAGGUGGGGACGACGUCAAGUCAUCAUGGCCCUUACGACCAGGGCUACACACGUGCUACAAUGGCGUAUACAAAGGGAGGCGACCUCGCGAGAGCAAGCGGACCUCAUAAAGUACGUCUAAGUCCGGAUUGGAGUCUGCAACUCGACUCCAUGAAGUCGGAAUCGCUAGUAAUCGUGAAUCAGAAUGU